UACUUUUGCGGCGCUUUCGGUUUUUUUCCGGCUUAACGGAAAAAAUUAAAAGGGAAUCCGGUGUAAAUCCGGAGCUGUCCCGCAGCUGUAAGUCCGGGUUCUAUUUUUUUAGGGCUUAGUUGAACCACCGUCACUGUCUGUAAAAAGAUGGGAAGACCUCAACGAAAGGAUGAGCCAGAAUACCUGCCAUAAGCAUUAUAUUAUU
rnacentral:ncRNA from 2 species